UUCCUUGCUAGUCAAAUUCACUGUGACAUGACACCUCAAAAUUGAGUAAACCUUGUACUGUAGUUGUUACUUUUAUACCGAUGGUCAAUCAUGCAGGUAGGGUAGACAUUUAAGUUCAUCUUUGAGUCUCUACCAAUUUUAAGUGAUGAAAUGAUGCAUUUAUCAUUUGUUGUGAAGUGUCGCCCUCCAGGGCAGAUUUUGGCCGGAGAUGUCAGGGAGAUGAAAAUG
rnacentral:misc_RNA from 1 species